rnacentral:rRNA from 1 species
GUAGGGAAUAUUGCGCAAUGGACGAAAGUCUGACGCAGCGACGCCGCGUGAGUGAUGAAGGCCUUAGGGUCGUAAAGCUCUGUUGAAUGGGAAGAAAAAAAUGACGGUACCAUUCGAGGAAGGACCGGCUAACUUCGUGCCAGCAGCCGCGGUAAUACGAGGGGUCCUAGCGUUGUUCGGAAUCAUUGGGCGUAAAGGGUGUGUAGGUGGCCAUGUAAGUCAGGUGUGAAAGCCCCGGGCUCAACCCGGGAAGUGCACUUGAUACUGCGUGGCUUGAGUACCGAAGAGGGUAGUGGAAUUCCAGGUGUAGUGGUGAAAUACGCAGAUAUCUGGAGGAACACCGGUGGCGAAGGCGGCUACCUGGUCGAGUACUGACACUGAGACACGAAAGCAUGGGGAUCAAACAGGAUUAGAAACCCCUGAGUCC